CACGUAGGGUGCGAGCGUUGUCCGGAAUUAUUGGGCGUAAAGAGCUCGUAGGCGGUGUGUCGCGUCGGCCGUGAAAACCUGCAGCUUAACUGUGGGCUUGCGGUCGAUACGGGCAUCACUGGAGUUCGGCAGGGGAGACUGGAAUUCCUGGUGUAGCGGUGAAAUGCGUAGAUAUCGGGAGGAACACCAGUGGCGAAGGCGACUACCUGGCCCAUUCUUGACGCUGAGGCGGCGAAAGCUAGGGGAGCGAACGGG
rnacentral:rRNA from 1 species